rnacentral:lncRNA from 1 species
UAUUCUUCUUUUCUCUUCUUCUUUUACUCUUCUUUCUCUUUAUUCUUCUUUCUAGGACCAACCUUCUUCCAUUCUGGAACGUAUGUCGUCCAUCCCACCCCUUAUAGAUCUUCUUACAUUAAGGGCCAUCCUUCAUACAAUGUCCCCUCUCUUAUUACUCCAUAUUAUCAUCAUCUACCCAAUCCCCCACCUUCCUUCAUA